rnacentral:rRNA from 1 species
UACGGAGGGAGCUAGCGUUGUUCGGAAUUACUGGGCGUAAAGCGCGCGUAGGCGGCUUUGUAAGUUAGAGGUGAAAGCCCGGGGCUCAACCCCGGAACUGCCUUUAAGACUGCAUCGCUUGAAUCCGGGAGAGGUGAGUGGAAUUCCGAGUGUAGAGGUGAAAUUCGUAGAUAUUCGGAAGAACACCAGUGGCGAAGGCGGCUCACUGGACCGGCAUUGACGCUGAUGUGCGAAAGCGUGGGGAGCGAACAGG